GUCUCCAGCCAUACCAUCUGGAACCCACCUGAUCCCGUCUGAUCUCAGAAGCUAAGCAGAGUCUGGCCUGGUUAAUACUUGGAUGGGAAAAUAACUGGAAGUUGAACCCCAGGAGUCUGGCUACA
rnacentral:rRNA from 1 species